rnacentral:rRNA from 1 species
AGAACGAACGCUGGCGGCAUGCCUAAUACAUGCAAGUCGAACGAACACUUCGGUGUUAGUGGCGCACGGGUGCGUAACGCGUGGGAAUCUGCCCUUGGGUUCGGAAUAACAGUUGGAAACGACUGCUAAUACCGGAUGAUAUCGAAAGAUCAAAGAUUUAUCGCCCAGGGAUGAGCCCGCGUAGGAUUAGCUAGUUGGUGAGGUAAAGGCUCACCAAGGCGACGAUCCUUAGCUGGUCUGAGAGGAUGAUCAGCCACACUGGGACUGAGACACGCCCAGACUCCUACGGGAGGCGGCAGGUAGGGAAUAUUGGACAAGUGGGCGCAAGCCUGAUCCAGCAAGUCGCCGCGUGAGUGAGUGAGCCGUUAGGUUGUAAGUCUU